AAGGCAUUAAAUAAAUACCCGAAUUUUUAUUAUUUUUCUAUGGUGUAAAAAUUUUAAUGCAUAAAGGAAAAUAAAACAAACCUAACAAAAUUGGUUUCACUAAUUUUGGACACUCCUAGAAAUUUCUGUGAUUUAAAUGGUGUAAAACGGAUUUAAACUAAUUUCUUUCUAAAGGAAAUCUAAUUUUUCCGAAAAACGCCCCGGAAAACUUUUCU
rnacentral:lncRNA from 1 species